GAUGAACGCUGGCGGCGUGCCUAAUACAUGCAAGUCGAGCGAACAGACGAGGAGCUUGCUCCUCUGACGUUAGCGGCGGACGGGUGAGUAACACGUGGAUAACCUACCUAUAAGACUGGGAUAACUUCGGGAAACCGGAGCUAAUACCGGAUAAUAUAUUGAACAGCAUGGUUCAAUAGUGAAAGACGGUUUUGCUGUCACUUAUAGAUGGAUCCGCGCCGCAUUAGCUAGUUGGUAAGGUAACGGCUUACCAAGGCGACGAUGCGUAGCCGACCUGAGAGGGUGGUCGGCCACACUGGAACUGAGACACGGUCCAGACUCCUACGGGAGGCAGCAGUAGGGAAUCUUCCGCAAUGGGCGAAAGCCUGACGGAGCAACGCCGCGUGAGUGAUGAAGGUCUUCGGAUCGUAAAACUCUGUUAUUAGGGAAGAACAAAUGUGUAAGUAACUAUGCACGUCUUGACGGUACCUAAUCAGAAAGCCACGGCUAACUACGUG
rnacentral:rRNA from 1 species